CCUACGGGAGGCAGCAGUGAGGAAUAUUGGUCAAUGGGCGCGAGCCUGAACCAGCCAAGUCGCGUGAGGGAGGACUGCCCUACGGGUUGUAAACCUCUUUUGCCGGGGAGCAACGCGCGCCACGUGUAGCCUCACUGAGAGUACCCGUAGAAAAAGCAUCGGCUAACUCCGUGCCAGCAGCCGCGGUAAUACGGAGGAUGCGAGCGUUAUCCGGAUUUAUUGGGGUUAAAGGGUGCGUAGGCGGAUCGCGAAGUCAGUGGUCAAAUUGAGGGGCUCAACCUCUUCCCGCCAUUGAAACUGGCGUGCUUGAGUGGAAGAGAAGUAUGCGGAAUGCGUGGUGUAGCGGUGAAAUGCAUAGAUAUCACGCAGAUCCCCGAUUGCGAAGGCAGCAUGCCGGCUUCCGACUGACGCUGAAGCACGAAAGCGUGGGGAUCGAACAGGAUUAGAUACCCUAGUAGUC
rnacentral:rRNA from 1 species